UCCCAGCCGUAAACAAUGUGCGUUAGGUGUGUCGGUAACCACGCGUUACUGAUGCGCCGAAGAGAAAUCGUGAAACGCACCACCUGGGAAGUACGGUCGCAAGGCUGAAACUUAAAGGAAUUGGCGGGGGAGCACCACAACAGGUGGAGCCUGCGGUUUAAUUGGACAACGCCGGACAUCUCACCGGGUAAGACAGCUGUAUGAUUGUCAAUCUGAAGGUUUUACAUGACUAGCUGAGAGGAGGUGCAUGGCCGUCGUCAGUUCGUACUGUGAAGCAUCCUGUUAAGUCAGGCAACGAGCGAGACCCACGCCGACAAUUGCCAGCAGCAUCUCCGGAUGGCUGGG
rnacentral:rRNA from 1 species